rnacentral:rRNA from 1 species
AUGACUAAUUCUGCACGCCGUCGCCGGAAAUCUCCAAGCUUUGAGACAACUAACUAUGAUGAAAGUUGUAGCGUCGACAUGAGUGAUACUGAUGUUUCCUCUCAAUCAAAAUCAACCAGGAAUAGCCAUAGAAGAUCUCCGAGGAAACUUAAGAGAGCAGCUUCCCCCGAAGUUAAGCAGACAAUCAACUGGAAAUGUGAUCCAAACAAGAUACGCGCCACUAUAAAAAAACUAUGUCCAGAACAGCUACAAUGGAUAGAAGAAUUGGGAUUUGGAUCACUCAUUCACAUGAUUGAGUGCAAGUUACCCAGAAAGCUAACUAUAUGGCUGAUGAAAAGAGUAGACUGCAAUAGCAAGUGUCUAGUAUUCAGAAACAGGAAGGUUUCUAUAGUAAAAGCUGUUGAAAACCUGUUGAAGUUACCCGCUCUUGACAAAGCAGUUCCAAUGCCCCGUCCAGGUAGGGUUCGUGACAAACCUUUCAGAGGUAAAACUGAAUUCAAGUCUGCUACGGCCGGAAGAGGAGAAUCACUCAAGGAAGCGACAGACAGGAUGUUAAUGUAUAAAGAGGAGAAAGACAAGGACAAGUUUUGCUUGUGUUUCAUGCAAGUCAUUCUUUGCGCCUACUUAGCUCCGACGACUGGUUACCAAAUUAAUAGAAGUUACCUGCUAGGAGCUUUGAAGGACUUGAGCUACAUCCCUCGUAUGAAUUGGUGUCGUUUUGCUGCUGAGUACCUUAUCGAGGCAAUCAAUGAAUCAAGGGAAAACAAAGUGCCCAACCUGAAUGUGGGUGGAUGCGUACAUAUUCUACAUCUCAUAUAUGUGGAUCUACUUCAAUCACAUUUAGUCAAAAUACCUCAGGGUUACCCAAGGAUUAAAUAUGUGGGUUCAGCAGUACUGGAACAAAUAGAUCAUACUGGAAAAAAGAAGACACAAGACCAUUGCAAGUUGUUUGAGAGCUUACUGGAUGAUGAAAAGUUAGCAAUGUUCCCUACUGUAGAAGACCAUAAUGAUGAUCUUGAUGAUCACGAAAAAUCUACACAUUCCACCCAACCAGUAACAGUUAAUAUAAGUACUGUACCUGGCCAGGAGAAACAUAUACUUCCUCCACAAGUAGUACAAGUUUCUAAAAAGCGGCUGUCACAUCAAGCUACAGAUGAGAAUUUGAUAAAACGGAUAAAGAUUCUUGAAGACCAGUACACAGCCGAUCGACAAAGGUUGAUAACUGUGUCUGAACGAAAGCUUCAAAACAAACUGCAACAACUUCAAAUUAAGAAAACCAAGGAAAUGGCAGCCUUGGUCCAGGAAGAGAUUCAGAAGGCUAUGUUACCGAUGAUUGAUGAUGCACGUCCAGGAAGUUCUCUGCACAAUGAUGAUGCAACUUUGACGAAAUGA